AAAUUGAAGAGUUUGAUCAUGGCUCAGAUUGAACGCUGGCGGCAGGCCUAACACAUGCAAGUCGAACGGUAACAGGAAGCAGCUUGCUGCUUCGCUGACGAGUGGCGGACGGGUGAGUAAUGUCUGGGAAACUGCCUGAUGGAGGGGGAUAACUACUGGAAACGGUGGCUAAUACCGCAUAACGUCGCAAGACCAAAGAGGGGGACCUUUGGGCCUCUUGCCAUCAGAUGUGCCCAGAUGGGAUUAGCUUGUUGGUGA
rnacentral:rRNA from 1 species